UAGCAGCACGUAAAUAUUGGCGUUAAGAUUUUAAAAGUAUCUCCAGUAUUAACUGUGCUGCUGAA
rnacentral:pre_miRNA from 2 species